AGCUCCAAUAGCAUAUAUUAAAGUUGUUGCAGUUAAAAAGCUCGUAGUUGGAUUUCUGGCAUGAUGCGCCUUGCCGCCUCGAUUACGAGUGUGUGUGCGAGUGGGCGUCUGCCAUCCAUUUACAGAAUGUGCCUACCUUUGAUUAGGCCGGGUACGUGAUGUAAAUCUUACUUGAAAAAUUAGAGUGUUUAAAGCAGGCA
rnacentral:rRNA from 1 species